rnacentral:lncRNA from 1 species
CACAGGAAUUGCCAUGGGGUUUCACUAGGAGGGAAGUGUAUUACUGGGGCUGAGGAGCAGGAGCGAGGGACUAAAUACUGAAGGCAGUAAUAGAAGCAUGUUUUGGGAGUGGGGAUUCUCACUUUUUCUUGGACUGUUCUAGAAACCAUGAACUUGUGGCCAGCAAGCGGCAGCGAAGGAAGUUAUUUUCCAGUUUCCAUCACGAUCUCUGCCGUCUGCCCCGUUCUCACCUUCUUUCUCACCUGCAAAUGGAGAAAUAGAGCUGAAAAUAAAAAUCCCACACAUUCUGUUUCUGGGGAAAUGAUCCAGUGCUUAAUUUCACCCAGAAUUGGAAUAGAAAGUUGAAAUACCUCUUCUCCCCCUUGCCAUGGGAAAAGAAGCUCUGCAAACUCUUUGUUCAGAAUGAAUGAAACACUUAAUUGUGAAUCAUAUUGGAAUUCAUGUUAUUCAUCUUCAUCUUUGUCAUCUCCUGGGGGAGGUGAACACGCAGCUGGAGGUAUUACUGUGUGAAACUGGAGCUGUCCACAUAUUUGGGUCUGAGAGCGAGCAGACUAGAUCCAAGUUUGGGGUCCUUCUUCAACUCAUUUGUUGAGUCAUUCACCGCUAGCCAUUUCCUCCCAGAAAGGCAAGACUGACUUCCUGCAUGGAAGGAGAGCUGCUAAGAAAUAGUGAGACCAUGAGGAAAAGGCAAGGAGGUCUAAGCGAAUCAUCCUGCAAACUGGAUUCAGACUGUAGGUCCCCAGGUGAUCCAUUUUAAUGGUUUCUACUGUGACUGCUGUUCUGUCCAGGAUGGAGACUAACCCAGAAGGACUCCAGCUGAUUUUCUGGGAGGCCUGUGGCUGGCUGUGGGAUUCUUGGUCCUGCUUACAUCCACUCCUGGGCCACCUUCAAGUUGUCUGUGCUGUAUCUGAGCAACCUGGUUAGGCCUGGGAGGAAUACAUCCUCCCUCUUUCCUUCAAGUGUGGCCUCUCCUGUUCUGGGCGUGCAAUACUUCACGCCCCAGAAAUGCUUUGAAUUAGAUCAUGAGAUUUUUUCCCUGCUGUUUUCCAAAAACUGCUGUGAGGAAAUUUCAUAAAAUUAGAGAAUUGUUUGAGCUGGAAGGGACCUUUAAAGAUGAUCUAGUCCAGCUCCCCUGCAGUGAACAGGGACACCUGCAGCUAGAUCAGGUUGCCCAGAGUCCCAUCUAACCUGACCUUGAGUGUCUCCAAGGAUGGGGCAUCUACCAAAUUCUGUUGCAAUAGAGACAAGUGAAAAACAACAGUGAAAAACAAGACAAUGGACCCAUACAGAGUACACAAAACUCACAUAUAAACUGUUAUUGAAAAAGAUACAUUUCAAAGUAGAAUUUGACAGAGAAGAAAGCAAAUAUUCAAUCAACCACAGUAAGGUACUCUUCCAGUCUAGUGGGCUGUCUAAUGAUCUGUUAUCAGAGCAGAGUCAAUGUGAAACAGGUACUAACACAUUUUUCUCUAUUUGUGGUGACAUGAAGAAUAAUCUGGUCCUUAAAAUGAAUGAGAUUCUUUUAAUAAAACUGGAUGUUGCUGCA